rnacentral:rRNA from 1 species
AUUGAACGCUGGCGGCAGGCCUAACACAUGCAAGUCGAGCGAGCCUCGGACUGGUGUUUACUGUCUGGGAAACUUCCUGAUGGAUUGUGAUAACUACUGUAAACGGUAGCUACUCCCGCAUACCAUCAUAUUUCCCCAGAUGGGAUUAGCUAGUAGGUGGGGUAAUGGCUCACCUAGGCGACGAUCCCUAGCUGGUCUGAGAGGAUGACCAGCGACACUGGAACUGAGACACUGUCCAGACUCCUACGGGAGGCAGCAGUGGGGAAUAUUGCACAAUGGGCGAAAGCCUGAUGCAGCCAUGCCGCGUGUAUGAAGAAGGCCUUCGGGUUGUAAAGUACUUUCAGCGGGGAGGCGUUAGCCGAAGAAGAAGCACCGGCUAACUCCGUGCCAGCAGCCGCGGUAAUUC